UAUUUAUUUUGAGCAAGAGAGAAAGAAAAGCCUCUUCGUUAUAGUGGAGAAGAGGUUUUGGGCUAUGCUGAGGCUGCUAAUUAGCACCCGCUUAGACGUUUUCCUUCUCUGGACUUCGUCCAAUAAUGACUGGACCGGUCCACCAUCAUCAAGUGUAGUGGUAGUAGUAAAGGGGAGUACUAAGCUUAGUACUACUUGAAGAAAAAAUCAAUAAUAAUUGUAUUGAUUAAAUUUCU
rnacentral:sRNA from 1 species